rnacentral:rRNA from 1 species
UUGAAGAGUUUGAUCAUGGCUCAGAUUGAACGCUGGCGGCAGGCCUAACACAUGCAAGUCGAGCGGUAGCACAGAGAGCUUGCUCUCGGGUGACGAGCGGCGGACGGGUGAGUAAUGUCUGGGAAACUGCCUGAUGGAGGGGGAUAACUACUGGAAACGGUAGCUAAUACCGCAUAAUGUCGCAAGACCAAAGUGGGGGACCUUCGGGCCUCAUGCCAUCAGAUGUGCCCAGAUGGGAUUAGCUAGUAGGUGGGGUAACGGCUCACCUAGGCGACGAUCCCUAGCUGGUCUGAGAGGAUGACCAGCCACACUGGAACUGAGACACGGUCCAGACUCCUACGGGAGGCAGCAGUGGGGAAUAUUGCACAAUGGGCGCAAGCCUGAUGCAGCCAUGCCGCGUGUGUGAAGAAGGCCUUCGGGUUGUAAAGCACUUUCAGCGGGGAGGAAGGCGGUGAGGUUAAUAACCUCACCGAUUGACGUUACCCGCAGAAGAAGCACCGGCUAACUCCGUGCCAGCAGCCGCGGUAAUACGGAGGGUGCAAGCGUUAAUCGGAAUUACUGGGCGUAAAGCGCACGCAGGCGGUCUGUCAAGUCGGAUGUGAAAUCCCCGGGCUUAACCUGGGAACUGCAUUCGAAACUGGCAGGCUAGAGUCUUGUAGAGGGGGGUAGAAUUCCAGGUGUAGCGGUGAAAUGCGUAGAGAUCUGGAGGAAUACCGGUGGCGAAGGCGGCCCCCUGGACAAAGACUGACGCUCAGGUGCGAAAGCGUGGGGAGCAAACAGGAUUAGAUACCCUGGUAGUCCACGCCGUAAACGAUGUCGAUUUGGAGGUUGUGCCCUUGAGGCGUGGCUUCCGGAGCUAACGCGUUAAAUCGACCGCCUGGGGAGUACGGCCGCAAGGUUAAAACUCAAAUGAAUUGACGGGGGCCCGCACAAGCGGUGGAGCAUGUGGUUUAAUUCGAUGCAACGCGAAGAACCUUACCUGGUCUUGACAUCCACAGAACUUUCCAGAGAUGGAUUGGUGCCUUCGGGAACUGUGAGACAGGUGCUGCAUGGCUGUCGUCAGCUCGUGUUGUGAAAUGUUGGGUUAAGUCCCGCAACGAGCGCAACCCUUAUCCUUUGUUGCCAGCGGUCCGGCCGGGAACUCAAAGGAGACUGCCAGUGAUAAACUGGAGGAAGGUGGGGAUGACGUCAAGUCAUCAUGGCCCUUACGACCAGGGCUACACACGUGCUACAAUGGCAUAUACAAAGAGAAGCGACCUCGCGAGAGCAAGCGGACCUCAUAAAGUAUGUCGUAGUCCGGAUUGGAGUCUGCAACUCGACUCCAUGAAGUCGGAAUCGCUAGUAAUCGUAGAUCAGAAUGCUACGGUGAAUACGUUCCCGGGCCUUGUACACACCGCCCGUCACACCAUGGGAGUGGGUUGCAAAAGAAGUAGGUAGCUUAACCUUCGGGAGGGCGCUUACCACUUUGUGAUUCAUGACUGGGGUGAAGUCGUAACAAGGUAACCGUAGGGGAACCUGCGGUUGGAUCACCUCCUU